AGUGAACGCUGGCGGUAGGCCUAACACAUGCAAGUCGAACGGCAGCGCAGUAAGAGCUUGCUCUUACGGGUGGCGAGUGGCGGACGGGUGAGGAAUACAUCGGAAUCUACUUUUUCGUGGGGGAUAACGUAGGGAAACUUACGCUAAUACCGCAUACGACCUACGGGUGAAAGCAGGGGAUCUUCGGACCUUGCGCGAUUGACUGAGCCGAUGUCGGAUUAGCUAGUUGGCGGGGUAAAGGCCCACCAAGGCGACGAUCCGUAGCUGGUCUGAGAGGAUGAUCAGCCACACUGGAACUGAGACACGGUCCAGACUCCUACGGGAGGCAGCAGUGGGGAAUAUUGGACAAUGGGCGCAAGCCUGAUCCAGCCAUACCGCGUGGGUGAAGAAGGCCUUCGGGUUGUAAAGCCCUUUUGUUGGGAAAGAAAAGCAGCAGGUUAAUACCCCGCUGUUCUGACGGUACCCAAAGAAUAAGCACCGGCUAACUUCGUG
rnacentral:rRNA from 1 species